UAGCCUAGCCCGGCAGGGCGCCCGCCUCGUAAGCGGGAGGUCCCGGGUUCGAAUCCCG
rnacentral:tRNA from 1 species